GGGGGUAUGGCUCAGUGGUAGAGCAUAUGCUUAGCAUGCCCAAGGUCCUGGGUUCAAUCCCUAGUACCUCCA
rfam:Camelus ferus unplaced genomic scaffold scaffold444, whole genome shotgun sequence.